GGGGGAGGAGGAGGGAGUGCAAAGCACAGGAUCCACCCCUGGUGCCAAAUGCUCUAGGUACACCCCUGCCCCCAUGUACAGGUUUUAUGGUGUUUUGGAAAGUUACAGGGUCAAUAUAGUCGGUCUAGAUAUGUACAUACCGAGACACGAAGAGAUAAUAUGAGGAAAUGUAAGGUUUAAAAACCAAAAGAAAACAGUAUCUAGAUAUCAAAGAUAUGAAUAAUGAUGUUGUAUAAAUAAAUAGAAACUGUCUACUAUAAUGAUACUGUUGCAACGUAUCAAAAAUGGACUAUCAACUAUGAUGAUACUUUUACAACGUAUCAAAGGUAAUUGUUACAGUUAAUAGUGCUUUUCAAAUAAUAGGCAAAACUUUUGCUGCUAUGAUUUACAGGAAAUACUUCCAAUACAUCCAGAGUGUUCUUAGUUAAAUGAAAAAAAGAGAACGUACGUCUGCUGCAAUGAUACUAUUUCAAUAUAUCUAGAGUGUCUCAUUGCAGUAAGUCAGACUUUCCAAAUAACCGGAACAGCAUCUGGUGCUGUGAUUUAUAAAGAUCACUUUCAAAAUGUAUCAAGUGUUCUUAAUCAAGCUUAGAAAGGUGAAAAUAAAAAUAGAAAUGAAAAAAAACAAACCCCCAAAAAACCGUCUGCUAUUAUAAACUGUAAUCAAAAAUGGACAAAUGACAGCAUGAACAAAGCCGUUCAAUAUGGCUGUUAACCUGCAGUGGGAUAAACUGAGCCGUCCGAUUUAGCUAAUGACCUGCAGUAGAUAGUAUAAUAUCCAGGUAUAUAUCAUGGCAGUUACUAAAUAUAGCCUGUGCUCUAAGACCCCCAAAAAAGGAAAUAGUAGGAGAAUAGAAAGAUAUCUGUGCCUUCAAG